rfam:Lactobacillus acidipiscis strain DSM 15353 Scaffold30, whole genome shotgun sequence.
UUCGAGCUUUGAUGCGAAAGGUUGCGACACACCCGGAUGCUUUGCCACGGGUAUAUCGGUAAUUUUCGCGGAGCUAGUCUUAUUUCUAAAAUGGACGAAGGAGGGAA